UUUUGUUUAUAAUGGUGCGCAAUAACGAUUGCAGAACGAAGCGAUAGCAGAAAAGUAAUAAAAUCUUUCACAAACAUCGUAAUAUGGAAUUGUGACAAAUCCAAACCGGCAUUGAUGUGCUUUAAAUAACAUUCUUUAAAUUAUGCGUGUGGCUGGUAUCUGUUUUAAAUAAUAAACCGUAUAAUUAACAGAGGCAUCCUCUAAGACUCGGUACCAUAAUGAGAUCGUUUACAUUUGAUUAUGCCACCCAUCUUCAACUUAGGAGCAUGGUGGAAACCUUCGCAAAUAAAGCAUCUACACAGCCCCACAGCGGUGAUAGCUAUAUGGAAAUCGCGAAUCAACUUGUGUGUUUCCUUUUGUUUCUUUAAAUACGACUGAUAUGUCAUCAACAGUUGUUUCUAGUGAAUGUAGUAAGGAAUUUUGCGUCUUUCAGAGUAAUCCACUCAAGAAAUUGACGUUGAAUACUACUAUAAAUUCCGGGGUUUUUCAUCUGCAUGUUACGUAGGUUAAAUGGAGAAAGUUAACAAUAAGUAUUUCUACAGAUUUCCAAGACAAACUAAAGAGUUGCAUCUGAUGUGGAGUAGUCCUUGUAAGCUGUGAAGGCAGAGGGAGUUUUGGCUAGUGGAGUUUCAAAAGCAGACUUAAGACUCAGAUAAUCGAAAAAGUCCAAGAUUCAUAGGAAUGCUUUAACAGGGCUACCAGAACUUAAAACAAAGCUACAUCAUUUUUGCCUUCCUUCUGUGACUCAUAUGAAACCUCUGUUGUGUGUUGCACCUUCCAAGCCAGGAUUGAGUCCUGCAGUGAUGAAUGUAAUAAAAGCAGAAGCCAAGGCAGUGCACAACAAUGUUAAAUAUUUUGCUUUGUUCCUUGAUGAAGUGUCUUUGGAGACAAUUUUUUAUUAUGAUGUGAAUAAGCAGCAAAUCAGUGGGUUUCACGAUAUACGAAGGGCAAAUAUAUGUGCAGACCAUGAUGUGUUGGUAGUCUGGUCAGAGGCAUAUGCAAAAUUUGGAGGCAGGUAGCCGCAUCUCUCUUCACUCAGAGCUCAGUUUCAGAUGCAGUUCCCUCCGUGUCUAAGUAUCUACAUUACCUGGGAGAGAACAUCCUGCAGACGUAGAUUGUAGGGAAUGCCUGAGUAGGCAUACUCUGUUUAAAACAGCGAUAACUUGAAGCAUAAGUAUUCAAAGUGAUUGUAAGACUGGCGCACUGAACUGCUGCAGAAACAAAGCGAUGUAUAGAUGUCAGAUGAUAAUCUUGUGUUCAUCAUCAAAAUGAAAGUUGUAACACACUCAGGAAAUGAGCACAGAAGAGCAGAUGUAGGAAUCAAGUGUCACUGCACUCGGUGAGGUUGUAAUGGAGUUGGUUUGCGGUAGGAUGAAACCCAGUGCUGGUCCAUGGGCCUACUGUUCUCAAAAAGUACGUUGCGGCUGCUGAGCUUAACUCUAAAUCUGAAGAACAGAAAGUGUCACAUGCCUUCACAUCAUGAGACAGUGAAAGAAGGUACAAAUGUAAUCCAGGACAUUAGCGCAAAAUGUGAUCACGAACUUUACGCCAUCACCUCUCAUCCCUUUGUCACCCAAAUACUGGCAUUGAAAAUUUUCCACCACCAGGAUGACUUGCAUCCAAGUUGAGAGCCACCACACAGAACUUUGUUAGCAACCUUGGUUAUGGAGAUGGGGCCAUCUCACCACAAUCGUAGAAAUUUCAAAGCAAUAGGCCUACUGCUGUGUUAACAUUGCCAAGUUCUGUAAACAUUCUCCUGUUUGUUUUUACCCCAAAUGUCAUAUAAGAGUGGGAUCCAACACACUCUCUACAUCAUUUGUCCACUAAAUUCAAAUGGUCGGUGGAGGAAAGAUGUUUGUUUAUGUUCAUCCAUAAAUAAACAUUUAUUUGCACUCAAUGUCAUCAAGAUUAAAGCUGAUAACUGAAGAUCUAGCUGAAGCCUCUUCAGGCUUCUUAUACUUAAAUGCCAAUACAUAUAUUCCCUAACGGUAUUUGUGGACAACAGAAACUUUAAUGAACUCGGCAAUUCACAACCACAGUACUACAGGUAGAAAUAAUUUACUUCUCCUGGUUUAAAAGGGAGUUUUAUAUUCUGGUGCAAACGAUUGUAACAGGUGGACUGUAGAAAAGAAACUAAACAUUCCCACCCAUCCAUAUAAACGGCAAGUUGACAUAUCCUGAGCAUGUGAAUUUGUUGAAAACAAGUGACCAGUCAGUGUGUAAAAAAGAGUCGAGCUAAGACACUAAAAGUAAGUUGUCAGUCAGUGUGUGAAAAUAAUCAAGCUGUAUACGGAAAAAAAGAGGAAGUAUCCAGUCAACGUGUGAAAGCAAACAAGCUACUGCAUGUUUGUUUUGCUUCACAAUUGCUAAAUAUGUAUGGGAAUUGGACAUACAUCCUAAUCUCCUUCUCCCUUACAUCUCUGUUUCCUCCUGUCGCCUACCAUCUCCUUCCCCCUCUCUCUGU